rnacentral:rRNA from 1 species
UACGAGGGGGGCGAGCGUUGUUCGGAAUUAUUGGGCGUAAAGGGUGCGUAGGCGGUUUGAUAAGUCAGAUGUGAAAGCCCCGGGCUCAACCUGGGAACUGCAUUUGAGACUGCUCUGCUCGGGUGCGGAAGAGGGAAGCGGAAUUUCCGGUGUAGCGGUGAAAUGCGUAGAUAUCGGAAGGAACACCAGUGGCGAAAGCGGCUUCCUGGUCCGACACCGACGUUCAGGCACGAAAGCGUGGGGAGCAAACAGG